CCCUGGCCUGGCAAUCACGCUUCUAGUCGCCUUGUCUGAUAAGGCCCUCCUCACACCCAGGAAUUCUGGGCUUGUUCCGACGAAGGAGAUGGGAGUGGGGCCAGGUAGCCACGUGGAGGGAGCUGGGACUUGCCUCCACUGCGGGGGGUGGGGGUGGGGGGAAGGGCCACAGCUCGAUGAUGCCGGAGUCCUGUGUCCCUGAGCCUGCAUUUCUAGAGAGCCACCUCCUCUGUGAUGUGCCUGUUCCCUGGUCCGUGCAUGAGGAGAGGGCACGUGAAUUGCCUGAGGAGGACGGAGUUUGAUGGGGAGGAGAGAAGAAGCAAGGCAGUCAACAGAUUGAGCUGGGCACCAUGCAUAGCCAUGCCGACCCAGAUGCAAGGUGGGAGAGCCUGGUGCUGUGCACACGAGGGAUGGCCCCUCUGAAGGCUGAGGGGGUCCGAGGUUCUUGGAUGCCCUUCAGCAUUCUCUCGUCCAGGCCCCAACCCUCUGGGCUGCUCCCCGCUGUUGAACAAAGCAUCUUCCUAACCCUCAGAGGUACAAGAAGACCCAGGAGACCGAAGACGCCAGGCCACCGCAUGUCGGCAGUCCAGUCUCCUCACUUGACUCUUGCACUGGUCUGAUAGAAUGGCCACCACACCCCCAUGCCAGGCUUCUGACGCCCCCCUGUCCUCCAGGGGUCCCAAGCCAGAUGGAGACCAUCCGCAUAUCCCCCGUGGUCUAGCUACGCCGCGGCUGGAAUUAUUUCCCAAGAAUUUGAUAGGAAAGUGUAAGAAAGGCAGAACUCUUCAAUAAGAGAAUACAAGAGCCAUCAGAGCUCAACUCCCUUAUUUGAGUCCAGCCACAGACUGGUGUGGCCGGCAGGAGUUCUAGUUCUGCGGCUUGAUCGCAGAACAUGAGGGGACUGGGUUCUGUUCUCUGUUCGCCCGGGUCCCGGCAUGCCCGGCCUCUUACAGGUGUUGGAUGAAUAAAUGAACGGAUUGCCGGCAGA